GGCCCAAGGUGAGGGACAUCGAGAUCAAACAUGUAAUAGUGUGUUAAGAUGAUAUUUCUAAAUCAGGUAUAUAUGAACCUAGACAUAAUUAUACUUGUAUAGAAAAACAGAUCACAAAUGUGCUAAUUAAUAAGAUUAAAAAACCUUUUGACUUAAAUUUGUUUUAUGCAAUUUGUAGUGGACGGUUAAAUGGAGUAUGCUGCAGGGCACAUGGUUAUUUGCAAUAUCCGUGAACUGUUACUUGUUUUGGUGAUGUUUGUAUUUGGUUGAGAGAGAGAGAGAAAGAGAGAGAGAUUAGUAUAAGGUGUAUAGACAAUGCAGUAUUAAAGGGUCCCAUGAAGAAUGGGCAUCCACUAGCAACUUGGG
rnacentral:lncRNA from 1 species